ACCCAACCACAACCUACAAUUAAAGUACCAAUUGUCCGCCAAACAACUACGAGUCCUAACUUAAAACUUAAAAGACUUGACGGUACUUCACCACCAACCUAGAGGAGCCUGUCUAAUAACCGAUAACCCACGAUUAACCCCACCCUAUCUUGCCCACAGUCUAUAUACCACCGUCACAAGCUUACCUUAUAAAAGAAACAAAGUGAGCUAAAUAGCCUAACACUAAAAUGACAGGUCGAGGUGUAACUUAUGAUAGGGAUAAGAUGGGCUACAUUCUCUAACAGAGGAUACGAACGAUACUAUGAAUAUAGUACCUGAAGGAGGAUUUAGCAGUAAGCCAAGAAUAAAACACUUAACUGAACAUAACGCAAUGAAGUACGUACACACCGCCCGUCACCCCUGCAGUAUU
rnacentral:rRNA from 1 species